rnacentral:rRNA from 1 species
CCUACGGGCGGCAGCAGUGGGGAAUAUUGGACAAUGGGGGAAACCCUGAUCCAGCGACGCCGCGUGAGUGAAGAAGUAUUUCGGUACGUACAGCUCUAUCAGCAGGAAAGAAAAUGACGGUACCUGACUAAGAAGCCCCGGCUAACUACGUGCCAGCAGCCGCGGUAAUACGUAGGGGGCAAGCGUUAUCCGGAUUUACUGGGUGUAAAGGGAGCGUAGACGGCAGUGCAAGUCUGGAGUGAAAUGCCGGGGCGCAACCCCGGAACUGCUCUGGAAACUGUGAAGCUGGAGUGCAGGAGAGGUAAGCGGAAUUCCUGGUGUAGCGGUGAAAUGCGUAGAUAUCAGGAGGAACACCGGCGGCGAAGGCGGCUUACUGGACUAUAACUGACGCUGAGGCACGAAAGCGUGGGUAUCGAACAGGAUUAGAUACCCGGGUAGUC